GUGUACAUGGAACCAUGUCGAGGAUAAUGUUAUUAGAAGUAAUUUACAAAGAAGGCGAGUUCUCGGUUGUCAAACAUUUUUUCUGAAGCUCGAAAAAAAGGUCAAAAACCUGGCUGGCUUGGGACAGAUUACUGGGAGAAGCUUAAUCAAUACUGGGCUACGCCGGAGUUUCAAAAGAAUAGCGCCCAGACAAAGGCAGCUCGAAAGUCUGAGAAGGGUGGCUCAUUGCACACUUGUGGUUCAGUGUCCAUGAGGACUGCUAGGAGGAAAUUGCAAGUUACUCUUGGUAGACCACCCAAUCGUCAUGAGGUAUGGAAGAAGACAUACGAAAAUCGAAGACGGAAAAGAAGUUUGGGUCGAGCCACGGGCAGAGGAUACCUAUAAUCGGUAUAAUCAAGCGAUGGAGGAACUCAUUAGGAGUCAGUUGAUCGAUAAUCAAGGCAGUACAAUCAUGCCAUUGGAGGAACAAACUAUCUCCUGUUGGUUGGACGUGGUUGGCGGUGUGAAUAAGGAAGAGCGUACGGCCUUUGCUCCGAGAAGAACUUUCACCGCCUUCAGUGUGGAUUGCAAGAUAUAGGAAAUUCUGCCAUUGUAUCAAAUGAGCAGCUUGAGGAGAUGCGACACGAACUUCGGGAACUUGCUAGGAAUUAUGAGGAGGAACGUAAAAAAAGGUUGGAGGAGGAGCGACGUAAGAUAAAUCUUGAGUUAGAUGUCAAAGAACUCAAGAGCCAGGUGUGUAACCUCAUCAAGUUGCCCUGCUCUCCGCCCCCGAGCCCCGAUCAUGAUGAUGGUGAGGAUGUAGAGGAUGAGGAGAAUCAGGAGCAUGGAGAGGCUGAAAUGGAGUAUUAGGUGUCCGUUGUUAUUUUUGUUCUAACUUAUGUUAUUUUGGAUUGUUUGAAGUCUAGUGGGAUGCUUUUGAUAUAUGUUUGGAUAACGUUGAAGUUGGUUGGAUUCGUACGUUUUUUGUUGGCUUAAUUUUAAUGUUUGAAUUAUUUCGAAGUAUUUUUAUUAUUGUUUUGAUGGCUA